UGGAGGCAGCAGUGGGGAAUCUUCCGCAAUGGGCGCAAGCCUGACGGAGCAACGCCGCGUGGAGGAUGACGGCCUUCGGGUUGUAAACUCCUUUUCUGUGGGACGAGAUUUGGACGGUACCACAGGAAGAAGUCUCGGCUAACUACGUGCCAGCAGCCGCGGUAAUACGUAGGAGACGAGCGUUGUCCGGAGUUACUGGGCGUAAAGGGUGCGCAGGCGGCUUCGCGCGUGUGCGGUGAAAUCUCCCGGCUCAACUGGGAGGGUGCCGUGCAGACGGCGGAGCUUGAGGGUCGGAGAGGGGCGUGGAAUUCCGGGUGGAGCGGUGAAAUGCGUAGAGAUCCGGAGGAACACCGACGGCGAAGGCAGCGCCCUGGCCGACAACUGACGCUCAGGCACGAAAGCUGGGGGAGCGAACAGGAUUAGAUACCCCGGU
rnacentral:rRNA from 1 species